rnacentral:Y_RNA from 1 species
UGGUCCGAGUGCAGUGGUGUUUAUAACUAAUUGAUCACAACCAGUUAUAGAUUCCUCUGUUCCUUCUCCACUCCCAGUGCUUUACUUGACUAAAAAUAUA